GCUGGGUGUGGUGGCGCGCACCUGUAAUCCCAGCUACUCAGGAGGCUGAGGCAGGAGAAUCACUUGAACCCAGGAGACGGGGUUGCAGUGAGAUUGUGCCAUUGCACCCCAGCCUGAGCAACAAAGUGAGACUUUGUCUCAA
ensembl:misc_RNA Metazoa_SRP Metazoan signal recognition particle RNA